rnacentral:misc_RNA from 1 species
AACAAGGCGUACCUGCGGACCUGCGGAGGGAUCAUUACCAGAGUGCCUUCAGGCUCUCCAACCCACUGUGAACAUACCUACGUUCCCCCGGCGGGCUCAGCGCGCGGCGGCUCCGGCCGCCCGCGUCCGCCGAGGGCAUCUCAAACCCGAAUUUAUUCGUGUCUUCUGAGGGGCGAAAGCCCGUAAAACAAAAUGAAUCAAAACUUUUAACAAUGGAUCU